UGAAUAAUGGUGGUCUUUCUUGGG
rnacentral:piRNA from 1 species